GUUAAGAGCUUUAAGAUCUAUUAGUUACACUUGGAAAUGAUAGAUCUUAAAGCUCUUAACGAUGAAAUAUCUCUAGCCGACAGGAAGGGGGAAAAAGGCAAUAUAAAUGAGACAUAAAAUCAUAAUAGUGAGUUCUACAUUCUAAAUAUUAUAUAUUCCAUUUUGUUCUAUAGGCUAAAAUAGUCAAGAAGGUUCCUAAUCAAACCUUUCCCAAUCCUGAGUAAUUCUUGUUGAAGAUGACAAUGGGGGAGGACUCAAGUUCCCUGGUCCAGAGUCAAAGGUCUCCCACUCAGUUGUCACUGACACAGCAUUGCUGCUAUUGCUAAAUGGCUUUGAAUUGCUUGACUUUAGGUUGUCCAGUAGAUCAUGGUAGUUUUGGACACGGUGUACCUCAGUCUUCCGCUGCACCUUUGCUUCUCCUUCAGCCUGAAUAGUGUCCAAUUUCAGCAAUUGCUUCAUCAGUAACUCUGAUGACACUGCAAAUUCCUCCUCUGCAAUCUUGGUCCC
rnacentral:misc_RNA from 1 species